rnacentral:piRNA from 1 species
UCUGUUGAUCACCUGGAGAGACC